UACGUAGGGGGCAAGCGUUGUCCGGAAUCAUUGGGCGUAAAGAGCGUGUAGGCGGCUUGGCAAGUCCGCUGUGAAAACUCGAGGCUUAACCUCGAGACGUCGGUGGAAACUGCCUGGCUAGAGUCCGGAAGAGGAGAGUGGAAUUCCUGGUGUAGCGGUGAAAUGCGCAGAUAUCAGGAAGAACACCCGUGGCUAAGGCGGCUCUCUAGUACGGUACUGACGCUGAGACGCGAAAGCGUGGGGAGCGAACAGG
rnacentral:rRNA from 1 species